rnacentral:rRNA from 1 species
AUUGAACGCUGGCGGCAUGCCUUACACAUGCAAGUCGAACGGCAGCGGACCUUCGGGUGCCGGCGAGUGGCGAACGGGUGAGUAAUAUAUCGGAACGUACCUUUCAGUGGGGGAUAACGUAGCGAAAGUUACGCUAAUACCGCAUAUUCUGUGAGCAGGAAAGCAGGGGAUCGCAAGACCUUGCGCUGAUUGAGCGGCCGAUAUCAGAUUAGCUAGUUGGUGAGGUAAAGGCUUACCAAGGCGACGAUCUGUAGCGGGUCUGAGAGGAUGAUCCGCCACACUGGAACUGAGACACGGUCCAGACUCCUACGGGAGGCAGCAGUGGGGAAUUUUGGACAAUGGGCGCAAGCCUGAUCCAGCCAUGCCGCGUGAGUGAAGAAGGCC